CACAUUUCCCAGCAAUAACAAUGAAGGUUUUUUUCUUCUGAUCAUCUUAUAAGAUAUUUAAUACCCACAUUCAAAAUUGAGGCAAUUUAUAAAUUUUACUUGAUCAGAUAUUGGUUAUACAACAAAUUUCCACAUCAACCUCAAUGACUAUCUAAUACUAUCAAAGACUCCGAUAUCCACAACCUCGUACACCGUCCAUUAUCGAUAAUAUGUCAUUCUCAAAACCAUAAAAAAGCAGAACAAACAAAUUAAAAUCGCCAAAACUUGAAGAGGCAAACAAUUUAAAGCUGCAAAAAUGUCAUCAACAAAUUACAAAUUAAAAUCCACAUGCAAAAAAAAAAACUACCAGAGCCAAAUGGAUAAGAGGAUACCUUGGGCACGAGAGGAUGAUGCUCCGAUGCAAGAUUGGUGAAAGAGAGAAGCGUGAGUAUGUGGAAACUUUGGUUGCUCCAAGAAAAAUAUGAAGCGGGGCUGCGAAUUGCAGUGAUAUCCAGUGGUACUUAACGGCAAGCUGGAGCUAGCUGAUAAUGGAGGUUGACCAUGAGAAGGUGCUAUUUCCUUGAAUUCAAGAGCGUCGGAGGGAGGAGAAAGAGAUGUUAGGUUUUGCGCGUUAGAGAAGAAAGAAAAAAACAAAGGGAACAAAGUCUACCUCCCACUGCUAAGCUAAGUGACGGAGGGAUUUGGGCGAGGUGAGAAUGGAGGAUAAUGGCGAUGGGUCUAGGUUUUGGUAAUGGGAUGAAGAAGAGUGGGCUGAAAUCCGUCGCCGUAUAGUUUAACUCGGUGCUGUAACUUUAAACUAUAAAUCUGAUGUAU
rnacentral:lncRNA from 1 species